rnacentral:lncRNA from 1 species
GAGCCAGGCCAAGGGAUAGGAAUAGCUCUGGCUAAGCGGUGGCCAAGGAUGUGGGCAGAAGACAACCCUCCAGGGUUGGCAAUCAACCAGGCCCCUUGAGGCUGUAGUGAAUUGUGAUUGUGUUGCUGUACUCCAACCUGGGCAACAGAGUGAGACCCUGUCUCAACAACAAUAAAAAAGAGAUCAAAGGGAAUGCCUUAGUCCCUUUUCCCCUUUCACUUUUAUGCCAUGUGAGGACACACAAGAGCACCUAUCUUGGAAGCAAAGAUGGAGCCCUCACCAGACACCAAAUCUGCUGGCUUUGAUCUUAGAGCUCUCAGCCUCCAGAGCUAUGAAAAAUAAAUAUCUGGGCCAGUGGCAGUGACUCGCACCUAUAAUCCCAGCGCUUUGGGAGGCUGAGACAGGUGGAUUGCUUGAACCUGGGAGGCAGAGGUUGCAGUGAGCCGAAAUCACGCCAUUGCACUCCAGCCUGGGCAACAAGAGCGAAACUCCGCA